rnacentral:misc_RNA from 1 species
GUAUGUUGCCUUUUGUAGUUAGUGCUAAGCAUGAUUAUUGACAAUCAUGUCAAAAAUUCGCCUAGAACUGUAUGAAAUUGCAAAUUUGUACUUGGAUGUGCAUUUUUCACACAUGGCUGCAUGCAGGCAGACAAAGCAAAAGGUUUCUCAGAAUUUGCAUUUCCCUAAAGUUAGCAGUUGCAUCAACUUUGAAUAAAUAUGGUUGCAGAAUGGCUUGUUAAAAAAAAAAGGUAUUGCAUGUACUAGCCCAAGCCCAUCUGGCAUGAGUAACUUGAGAAAAUGAAUUUUAAGCCAUUGCACUCUCAAAUGGCUAGGCCAAGUUACGUGAGUUGUUCUUGGGCUAUCUAAAGCUUCAACUCUUCUUUGCUCUACUGAUAUGGGACUCAAAUCUGGGGUAUCAUAUUGAAUUUGGAUUUAAAAUUUAAACACCCCUUCUUUGAUUUUGCUUCAUUAGCCUAUGAAGUGAGUGCAUCACAGCAUAUUCAUUUUUUGUUUCUUCAAUUUUUAUCCAGGAACUAUUUCAGAUGGCUAUA